AGUGCUUUUGCGGUCAUUCCAAACUGUUAGAGUAGAGUGACAGAACUACGAUUUCUGAUAGUACAGAGACAGGCUGGUGACAGUCUUCACCAUGGUUUGCUGUGCUGGUUUGCUGUGCUGUGCUGCAUGGGGAUGCUCCAAUCGCUCAGAGAAAGUUUCAGAUCGCGAGACUGGACAAGGGAAGAGCACGAAAGAAAGUGGUCUGUGAGGGCGCGGGAUCAAAAAGAUGCAGUCGUCAAUGCACACAACACAACCAGUACAAAAGUAAUGGAGACCAUGUCCAAAUAUUUUAAAUAUGCACCAGAGAGGAUGGGUGGUGGUGGCCGUAAGAAGACUCUUCCUUGAAGGCACCUUUUUUUUUUAUGACUUGCUAGUAGAAUGUGAAGUUCUACAAAAGACUUCUUACUUGUUCUACAAACUUUCCUUACUUGGAUUCUUUUUCACUUAAUUGUUGAGAUUUUAGACUGUUACGAAAUGAGUACAUAUGUUGGUCACAAGUUUGGAAAUGGCCACAUUUUGAACCAGACACCUUGCCUCAAACCUCGUCCACACCCACUGCAAAAUCUCCAUGUUUCACUGAAAGCCAGAUGAGAGGAGGGUCUUAUUCUGCACAGGGGUCCAAAAGAUCUAUAGAUUAAUUUCUUGGGGAAGAAGACCUUGAUUUUGAUUAAGUUUAUAAAUGUUUGUGAAAACCCACAUGUCUAAGUUUUACUUUGCUUUUAACAUUCUGCAAGUAUUCAGACAUGACAAAUAUUGUGUUGAUCAUGAUUAUAUAUAUAUACUUGUUAUUUUAUGUAAUAUAUGUUUCAGUGUAAAUUAACCCAAGUGUGUGUGCAUAUAAAACUGUUUUUUGUGCAAAUUUAGCUGACGAUGAGCCUCCAGCAGGAACAGAGUUCAACACGGAGGAUAACAGGAUGUGCUGAGACACAAUGGCAUAGAGGAGGAGGAGGAGGAGCCUGUGCUGCCAGCUUUCCUAACAAGGAGAAACCCAGGACCACAGCUCGCAAUGGUCAGGGUGUAUUCACCACUGGAAUUGAUCCAGCUCUUUUUUACAAACUCUGUUUUAGAGACCAUUAUUAAAAACAAAAACGACUAUUCAGCGAUGAUACGGUGUAUGAUUUUCAUACAUAUUUGGCCAUGAUGGAUCUACAUGGAUCUCGUGAAAGUAAAAGGUGUUGAAGACUACUAGGUAAUGAAACAACUUUAUAACUUCCCUUAUCCACAAUCUGUGAUGUCCAGGGCCAGAUUUCAAGCCAUAUCCUGGAAUCUCCAUCUCUGCGACUUGGGACAAGACCUGCAGAACACAUGUAAAAAAGGAACACCGGAGUACGACAAGCUGAACAAAAUCAAGCCACUGAACCACGAUUUGGCAGCAUGUACUACUUAUUUUCAGCCAGGCCAACAGGCAGGGCUGGACUGGAAUUGUGGCAUACCGGGCAUUUUCCCAGUGGACCAACACACUUUUUGGGCGAUCAGGGGCGGACUGGCCAUCAGGAAAACCAAACGAGCUGGUGGGUCGACCGUGAAACGGGCCUAGUGGCUAGUAUGCUAAAAUGAGCAACCGCCUUGAGCAGAACGGACCACAAAUGGCGGAAAAAGCAGAAAAGGACAGUGGUGUCAGUGGAUGAGAGGAUGGUGGCUUCAAAAGCACACAAAAGCCUCAAGCAGUUCAUAAAGGACAAGUCCACCAAGUGGGGCCAUAAACACUUUGUUGUUGCCGAUUCUGCCUGUUGGUACACCUGGAACUUACAAGGGUAAAAAUUCAGUUCCCUCAGUCAAAUGCCUUAAAUAUGUUUCAGUGAUGAGGCUGCUGGCCACUCCUUGAAUGGUUUUGUUGACAACUUUUACACUAGCCCAAGCUAUUUUGCAGACUUGCUGGACAAACACAAUGUCUUGUGUCACAAUACGUCCAAACAAUCGAGGCUUUCCGAAGACCAAAGGAAACUAUCUCAGCAAGAAGGCUGAAAGAGGAACCAUCCGUUGGCUCAAGGGAUUUUGUAAUGUGGUCAACAAUCCACAAAGCCUAUAGCAGUGAUACCAUCUCCGGGCAUGUGAAGAAUCCCAAUGGUGAAUGGAGCGUGCAUGAAGUCACGGUUCCACGAGCCAUCAAGCAAUACAACCAGCACAUGGGAGGCGUUGACCUUUCUGAUGCUCUCAUUGGUUAUAAUAACACCUUGCACAAGACAUAAAGAUGCUACUGGACGUUUUCUUCCAUUUACUGGACAUUGCUGUUGUGAACAGCUUUAUUCUCCACCAGCACCUGGCAAAGACUCAGAGCAAGACCUCUCUCAGCCAAAGAAAACUUUCUGAGAGUUGCUUGUGUCACAGCUGGUAAGUGCUGCCACACCACCUAGCACAUCUGGUGCCACAGUCAUCUUCUCGACUUGUCCGGGAUAAGGAAUGUUAUCCAGAAUUUUUGAAGCAGAUGGCACAAGUGGCAGAAGGGUAUGUUAGCUACGAAAUAGGACAUUAGAGGACUACAAAGGACAGUUCGGAGUGCUGAGAGGAUUACUGGUUGUCCCCUGCCCUCCUUUCAAGAAAUGUACACUUCCAGAGUGAGGAAAAAGGCUGGAAAAACCACUCCAGACGCCACUCACCCAGCCCACUACCUUUUUGAACUGUUGCCUUCUGGAACACCAGAACCAUCAGGAACUAUUUUUUCCCUCAGGCUGUCCAUCUCAUGAACCGUUAAAACUGCCCCUUUGAGAAAUAAUUAAUGUGCAAUUCACAGUUUAGUCUUUUUAUAUUUAUCCAACACCAUCCUGAUUUUGAUUGAUUUCAGAAUUCCCAAAGGUUUUUAAAUGCUGACCAUGUAUUUACAAGUUCUUUUUUGUGUGUCUUGUGUCAGCAGGUGGAAGUGGUCAUUAAUUUAUUGGGCAGUUCUGCUCAUGUUUCUUUCCUAUUUAGCUCUUUACAGUCUAUAUUUACACUUUGAAUCUUCAAGUGGUAACCAGUAUAUGGUGCAAGUUAUGGUACAAGUAGACCAUAACUUAUGUUGUUAUACAACAAUCAAAAUGGUUUUGUGCAAAACACAAAAACUGCUGCUCGGUCUCAUUCCUUUUCUGCAAUUUUGCCUAUUACUUGGGUUUGUCACAGAGAAAAGUUGAUGAAACCUUGAGGAAAAUCCAGAAAAGUGCUCCUGCCAUGUGUAACAUACAGUAAUACUAGAAAUGUUGGGGCAAUGUUCUUUUUUUUAACCUGUUUUUGCAAUUGGGUACUUGGAGUCUCCAAAAGGACCCUUUGCCUCUCUUUAGUUGCAGUUCAAUAGCUUCUGUUUAGAAAUUGAUAGAGGAAAAGGGAAUCAACCAAAACUUCUGAACUGAGCUUCACCAAGUAGGUUCUGAAUAACACCCUUUUAUUAUUGAAUUUUUUCUAAAAAGAAAAUCCAGAAAGUGCCUAUGUAUUGUGAGUUUUUUUUAAAUAGUAUUUUGAACCAUAAUCUACCACAAUAUUUAUUGAAUAUUCAAUGAAUACAUUUUUAAAUUGAGGGGUUAUCUUUACAAAGAGACCAAUCCUUUGCAUUUACUCCAUUGUAUGUUGGUAAUGUGAGCGUUUAAAUUUGGGUAGGGCAGAUUUAGGCAGAAAUCCAAAAAAUGGGCCAGUGAAGAGUAGGCUGAUUUCUGAUAAUUAUCAGUGUUUGCCUGUAAAUGCACUCGUUGAACCAGUAAGCAACACGAGACCAAAAUGUUUUUUUUAAACAGUGGAAUUUCUUAUUUAGUUCAGCAGUGAGUCGAGUCGGUCCGGUUAUAAACAUCCUUCUGCUGCCAGACACAUAUGUCAUCCCAUCUCAACAAAACUCUCACGAUUCCUUCCAGAAUUAGUCUGUGUAAUGUGUUUUACACAAUAGCAUAAAAAACGCAUACACAGUUGUGUAGUUGUGUAGAACAGCUGUGUAGUUAUUGAACUGGUUUCACUGGUUUAUCUUCACCAAUAACAAAAGCUAGAUAAUAUAAAAAAGGUUUCCUACAUUAUAGAGCAUAUCACAAGUGACUGGGACUCGAGUCCAAACUCAAAAGUACAAUUUUAAUGGACUUGGUCUUGUCACGGACUUGGAUGUAUUUUACUUGGACUCGAUCCUUUGGGACUGUAUUUUUUCAGAGUCUGUCCGAGUCCAUGACAUUUGUGGUGCAAGGAAAAAACAAAAUAAACAUCUCUUCUCUGCAUGCAGCUGUAUUAGCCCCUGAAGUUGUAGAUGUAGCCUAGAGUUGUUUCACUGUGUUAUAGCAAACACACGCACACUCAUCAGUCAACCAAAUGCUUGAAUGUUACUACAGAGACUACUGUAUAACAUCAACUUCUGAGGUGGCUGGCAUGAUGAAAACAUAAAGACGGGUAUGUAUCUAAUGAAAUAGAAACUAAACAAGGCAGUUUGACACAACAUGGGACCUGACAAUGGGUAAAAUUGCAUGUGGCAGGUGCUAUUGUGAUAUUUGGGUUAGUGAAAUGUUUUAUUUAUAGACUAUAAACAAACUGUAUUAUUCAAUGGCAGAGUUUGUGUAUGAAGCUAAACUUAAUGUUACAAGAUUAAUUUUUCUGGUUAUGACAAUUUUAUUUUAAAUGUUUAUUUUAUUUUUAUUGUAAACUUAUGCAUGUCUUGUUUUUUAUUUUGCCUAUAUCUCUGACACUUUUUAAGGACAAGUCUUUUAAAUGUAUGACUCAGUUAUUAUCCUCCAUGUUUUAGCGGUUAAAGAAGAGCUCAAUGAAAUUUUCUUUGUUUGGUAUUUAAAGAUUUCAGACUGAUUGCAGACCAACG